AAAAGUCGUAACAAGGUCUCCGUUGGUGAACCAGCGGAGGGAUCAUUACUGAGUUUACGCUCUAUAACCCUUUGUGAACAUACCUAUAACUGUUGCUUCGGCGGGUAGGGUCUCCGCGACCCUCCCGGCCUCCCGCCUCCGGGCGGGUCGGCGCCCGCCGGAGGAUAACCAAACUCUGAUUUAACGACGUUUCUUCUGAGUGGUACAAGCAAAUAAUCAAAACUUUUAACAACGGAUCUCUUGGUUCUGGCAUCGAUGAAGAACGCAGCGAAAUGCGAUAAGUAAUGUGAAUUGCAGAAUUCAGUGAAUCAUCGAAUCUUUGAACGCACAUUGCGCCCGCCAGCAUUCUGGCGGGCAUGCCUGUUCGAGCGUCAUUUCAACCCUCAAGCUCUGCUUGGUGUUGGGGCCCUACAGCUGAUGUAGGCCCUCAAAGGUAGUGGCGGACCCUCCCGGAGCCUCCUUUGCGUAGUAACUUUACGUCUCGCACUGGGAUCCGGAGGGACUCUUGCCGUAAAACCCCCCAAUUUUCCAAAGGUUGACCUCGGAUCAGGUAGGAAUACCCGCUGAACUUAAGCAUAU
rnacentral:rRNA from 1 species